GGAGGUGUAGGGUAUUUUUGGAAUAAAAUAAAAUAGUGGGGAGGUGUAGAAUAUUUUUGAAAUAAAUUAAAAUAAUGAGGAGGUGCAGGACCCACUUGGAGAGGUGGAGGGAGCAACACCCUAAUUCUAGUCAUAUGUUCUCUUCUAGUAUAUUUAAUGUGUGAUUUUAUAAAUGUUAAAAUGAUGCUUGAUUUAUGAUGUUUAUUUGAGAAUGGUUGGUGAUAACUCAAGAAGGAUUGAUUAUGGUUUUGUUAGUGUACACAUUAACAUAUGGGAGGUCAAUAAGGAGGUAUCCUUAACUUUAAUAAUUAUUCACA
rnacentral:lncRNA from 1 species